rnacentral:rRNA from 1 species
AGUGGCGGACGGGUGGGUAACGCGUGGGUAACCUGCCUCACACUGGGGGACAACAGUUAGAAAUGACUGCUAAUACCGCAUAAGCGCACAGGACCGCAUGGUCUAGUGUGAAAAACUCCGGUGGUGUGAGAUGGACCCGCGUUUGAUUAGCUAGUUGGUGGGGUAACGGCCUACCAAGGCGACGAUCAAUAGCCGACCUGAGAGGGUGACCGGCCACAUUGGGACUGAGACACGGCCCAA